rnacentral:lncRNA from 1 species
AGCAAAGUAGCCGUGACUAGAAAUUAAAGGGUUCGGAGGAAUUAAUAGAAUGGCGACCAGCAAGAAGAUGGCUGUGGUGACGAUGGUGUUCAUGGCUGCCGUGCUGCUGCUGGCAACUGUAGAGUCGGCGGCGGCGGCGGCGGCGACGGCGACUGCCACUGCCACUGCCACGACCUCCGACUCCAGCCAGCAGCUGGGGCUGGGGGCAACAAGAAAGCUACUCCAGAUCGUCGGCGACACAUGCGGAGGAAAUGAUUGUUCUGAUGAUUUUCCUCUAGGUUGUUGCGCUGGCAGCCCUGUUUGUAGGGGGAUAUGCUCGACCCUUCUCUAGUACUGUAGCUUUCACGGCCGGCCGGGUUAUUAUGUCCAUCACGCAUUGCAUUGCAUGCCACAAUAAUAAUCAUGCAUGCAUGUCCCUAAUAAAUAAGUGUUGUCAGUUCUGAGACUACGUAGGUUCCUGCUGGAUAUGCAUGCUGCCGGCAGCUAGAGCUAGCAUAUAUAUGCUCUCUCAUAUCAGUGUGAUGUUCAACAGUUGCCGUACGUGUCUUAUUUUACUUUUCAGCAGUUACUGUACCCGCGAGUCUGUACGUAGUUGUCUGUUGAAUGAAUAAUAAAGCAAUGCAGUUGUUGAUGGCGUAAUUUGGUUGACCCACAUUUGAUGCUCAAUUCGGUUUUAUAGCCUAUUUGUUUGUUAGCCGAUGAAAACCUGAUAUAUCCAAUGGCCAGGCGGUUAAUUUGUGAACAAGAUAAUCGAUCAUUAACAAGUAUUUCCAUUAAUCUACUAGCUACUCAAGCAGCAGGAUUUAUAAAGAGCAGGUUUGGCGGUGUGGCAAGGAAGGACGCAUCACUGUCAGGUCAUCAGGCGCAUGCAGCAAGUUAUCUCGUACAUACGCCCGGCCAAAUGUGCAAAGCUUAAUUUGCAUGUGGUAUAUUGGUGUAACAAAUAUCAUGUUUCUAUGAUCCUUCUAUUUAUUGUAUUUUGCUGAUGUGAUAUUGUAUUUAUCGAAGAAAAGAGAGUACAAACACGUUUCCGUCUAUAGAUCGUGUAUCCUUGGCUAAUUCUGAACGUUGAUUGAAACAUGCAUGCUGCAGCAACUGACAUAUAUGUGUUUCUGUUUUUGUUUACUAACGCUCUGUUCGCCCGCUGAUUUGUUGAUGCAAAUGCAUAUGCAUUGUUGAUGCAAAGACCAAAUUAAAAACAUUAAUUGUGACUCACAUUCAUUAAAACAGUGAUAGAUAUUUUGCCUGCAUCAAUCAUAUCAGUGUAAGAAAAGUUUGUCAUAUGUUGGGCUAUGCCAUGCUAUUCAUAUUGUUGUUCCCAUAUCCACGAGGCACUACCAUAUUCGUCUCCUUUGUUGAUUGCCGCGGGCACUCCGCAAAGUCACAAAUGCACUCCGUAAAGACUUUGUCGAGUACCACAUUUGACAAAAAGUACUCGCCAAAGAUUUUAUCGGCAAAGAGCUCUUUGCUGAGUUCUUUUUGUUGGAUAAUCGGCAAAGACUUUGCCAAAUACUAAAAAAACAUUUGGCAAAAUAAAAAACCAAAAAACCCAAAAAAAAAAUAUUUCGGAGAGGCCCCACCAAUCAGUGCCCAUCCGAUGCAAGUUACGGCAUUUUUUGGUUCACGCUCUAUGCAGCCGGUGAGAUUCAAACCGGCAACCUUCCUCUCACGUAUCUCCCCCUCUAACCACGACAACACACUACCACUUAUGUCUAUAAUCCGUUUUGGUUCUCCACGUAUUAUACCAAACCAAAUGUAAAUUAAUUAUUUGAGGCCCUAAAUGAAUUUAAAUCAAAAACUUGUCAACUAUCAAGUUUCAUAACUUUUCGAGAUCUAUAAUUUUUAUUUAGGAAGUUUCUCCAUCCGAGGUCUUUUACAAAAUUUGAAUUUCAAGUUUAAGAAAUUCAAACGUAGUUUUAUAUGGCUAGAUAAUUUCAAAUGAAAAAGUUGUCAACUAUAAAGUUUCAUAACUUUUUGAGAUCUACAUUUUUAUUUAUGUUAUUUUUCCAUCCAAGGUCGUUUGAUAAAUUUAAGUUUGAAAUUCAAACGUAAUUUUACAUGACAAGAUGAACUCAAAUGAAAAGGUUGUCAACUACAAAGUUUUAUAACUUUUUGGGAUCUACAUAUUUCAUUUUGGUUGUUUUUCUAUCCGAAGUCAUUUAAAAAAUUCAAAUUUUAAAAUUCAAACGUAGUUUGUAUGACAAGGUGAACUCAAAUGAAAUAAUUGCCAACUAUAAAUUCUAUAACUUCUCAAGAUCUACAAAAUUUAUUUUGGUUAUUGAUCAUUUGUUCAUCUGACAUGGUGGUUCUAACAUUGUUCACAAAUCUUAUAUAUCUCUCUUAUAGUUUUAUGAAACUUAUGAGAGAGAUGUAGAUUUUGUGAGCAACGUUACUAUUGCUUUGUCAAAUGAAGAAAUAACCAAAGUAAAAGUUGUAGAUCUUGAAAACUUAUACAACGUUGUAGUAAACAAAGCUUUUUUUAUUUGAAUUAAUUUACUACUUCAAAAUAUGCUUUGAAGCAGCUCUUUGACGAGUGCAAAAAGAAAACAUUCGGCAUUGCAAUUGUUUGCCGAGUGCAAAAAAAAAUUACUUGACAGACUCUUAUAUAUCCGAGUGCAAAAAAAAAAACACUUAGCAAACAAGCUCUUUGCCGAUUUUUUUUUUUUUUUUUUUUUUGCACUCGAUAAUAUAAUUUAGCACUAUAAGCAAAGACAAGAUUUCCAGUAGCGAGAGAAGAGCACAAAAACUUGCAUGCCAAUCAACGAACUGAAGGAAGCACAACACGAAGCAUCGGCACAUAGAGAUCAAUUAUCAUCUCGGGCUUGUUUGGACGGCGCCUGCUAUACACGGCGCUGCCGUGCCGCAACGCAACUGCGGCUGCGCCAAAUGUCUGGCGUUGAAAACACUCACCGCACGUUUGGCAAGAUGUGGCAGCAAAUUUAAACUACGUUGCUAUGAUUUUAUUGUGGCACGCCUUAACUCUGUCGCCAGCUCAAAGUUCUUCAAAUUUAUAUAUGGCGCUCUAGUUACGGCGAAGUGUGGCAACCGAACCAAACAAGCCCGUAAUCCUAGACUGACGGGUCACACCAAGACCCCUCGCUCGGCAAUACGCUGAAAUAUCAAAUAUGUAUGCUCCAUAUAGACGAUAUCAAUGGAAACAAGUUGCAUUAUAUUGAUGGAAGAAAUAACUGCUGGCUGUCAAGUUAAUUGAUCGAGAUGCAGCUGUUCGCAAUAUGCUGAAAUGCAGCUAGCUGUCUAGCUAUAUAAGAAGCAUUGUAGGGGUAGUGGAGCCUCCCACCCACAUACGUCUAGCUAGUAUAUCUCAUCUGUGUGGAAGCUUGCAAGCAAAGUAGCCGUGACUGGAAAUUAUUAAAGGGUUCGGAGGAAUUAAUAGAAUGGCGACCAGCAAGAAGAUGGCUGUGGUGACGAUGGUGUUCAUGGCUGCCGUGCUGCUGGUGGCAACUGUAGAGUCGGCGGCGGCGGCGGCGGCGACGGCGACGGCGAGUGCCACUGCCACGACCUCCGACUCCAGCCAGCAGCUGGGGCUGGGGGCAACAAGAAAGCUACUCCAGAUCGUCGGCGACACAUGCGGAGGAAAUGGUUGUUCUGAUGAUUUUCCUCUAGGUUGUUGCGCUGGCAGCCCUGUUUGUAGGGGGAUAUGCUCGACCCUUCUCUAGUACUGUAGCUUUCACGGCCGGCCGGGUUAUUAUGUCCAUCACGCAUUGCAUUGCAUGCCACAAUAAUAAUCAUGCAUGCAUGUCCCUAAUAAAUAAGUGUUGUCAGUUCUGAGACUACGUAGGUUCCUGCUGGAUAUGCAUGCUGCCGGCAGCUAGAGCUAGCAUAUAUAUGCUCUCUCAUAUCAGUGUGAUGUUCAACAGUUGCCGUACGUAUCUUAUUUUACUUUCAGCAGUUACUGUACCCGCGAGUCUGUACGUAGUUGUCUGUUGAAUGAAUAAUAAAGCAAUGCAGUUGUUGAUGGCGUA